rnacentral:rRNA from 1 species
UACGUAGGUGGCAAGCGUUGUCCGGAUUUACUGGGCGUAAAGGAUGCGUAGGCGGAUGUUUAAGUGAGAUGUGAAAUACCUGAGCUCAACUUGGGUGCUGCAUUUCAAACUGGAUAUCUAGAGUGCGGGAGAGGAAAGCGGAAUUCCUAGUGUAGCGGUGAAAUGCGUAGAGAUUAGGAAGAACACCAGUGGCGAAGGCGGCUUUCUGGACCGUAACUGACGCUGAGGCAUGAAAGCGUGGGGAGCAAACAGG